CUAACACAUGCAAGUCGAGGGGCAGCGAGUCUAGCUUGCUAGAUGUCGGCGACCGGCGCACGGGUGCGCACCGCGUAUGGAACCUACCUUCUACAGGGGAAUAGCCCAGGGAAACUUGGAUUAAUGCCCCGUGGCACUGUUACAUGGCAUCAUGUUUCAGUUAAAGCCUUCGGGCGGUAGAAGAUGGCCAUGCGUCCCAUUAGCUUGAUGGUAAGGUAACGGCUUACCAUGGCUACGAUGGGUAGGGGCCCUGAGAGGGGGAUCCCCCACACUGGUACUGAGACACGGACCAGACUCCUACGGGAGGCAGCAGUGAGGAAUAUUGGACAAUGGAGGAGACUCUGAUCCAGCCAUGCCGCGUGCAGGAAGAAUGCCCUAUGGGUAGUAAACUGCUUUUAUACGGGAAGAAAAAGGGCUACGUGUAGCCUACUGACGGUACCGUAAGAAUAAGGACCGGCUAACUCCGUGCCAGCAGCCGCGGUAAUACGGAGGGUCCGAGCGUUAUCCGGAAUUAUUGGGUUUAAAGGGUCCGUAGGCGGGCCGAUAAGUCAGGGGUGAAAGUCUGCCGCUCAACGGUAGAACUGCCUUUGAUACUGUCGGUCUUGAGUUAUAGUGAAGUUGCCGGAAUAUGUAGUGUACGGUGAAAUGCAUAGAUAUUACAUAGAACACCGAUUGCGAAGCAGGUGACUAACUAUAUACUGACGCUGAUGGACCAAAGCNUGGGGAGCGAACAGGAUUAGAUACCCUGGUAGUCCACGCCGUAAACGAUGGAUACUAGCUGUCCGGUCCUUGAGACCUGG
rnacentral:rRNA from 1 species